rnacentral:ncRNA from 1 species
CGUGCGUGCCCAAGAUCCCGAGAGGAGAAUGGAGGAGAAGGGAUUGCGGCGUGACCAUCCCCCCUGGGGGGUGAUUUCUCGCUUUCUGUCUCUAUGUCUCUCUCUGUCUGUCUGGCGAGCGCACGCGCCCUACAGUGAAAAUCUCUCCAAAAAAAAAAAAAUGACAAGUUUGAUAAAAGUGUUCCUACCAAGAAAAUUAAUGCAAAACUUCAUGAUGGAGUAUGUCAGUGCCGUAAAGAAGUUCUUGAGGGACUAGAAGGUGGCAUGAUGGUUAAGGUGCUGGACCUGGCGGUUUGCUUUCUCACUUUCCCUCGUUCUCUCUCUGAGUCUCUCUCUGGUCAAACUAAAAAUAAAUGAAUGAAUAAAUGAAAUUAAAUAAACAAUUUUUAAUUAAAAAAAAUAAAUGCUGCCCUUAGAUGUCCGGGGCUGCACGCACGCUACACUGACUGGCUCAGCGUGUGCCUAUCCUAUGCCAGCAGGCGUGGGUAACCCGUUGAACCCCAUUCGUGAUGGGGAUUGGGGAUUGCAAUUAUUCCCCAUGAACGAGGAAUUCCCAGUAAGUGUGGGUCAUAAGCUUGGGAAUAAAUAA